UAAGGAAUAUUGCGCAAUGGGCGAAAGCCUGACGCAGCGACGCCGCGUGGGGGAUGAAGGUCUUCGGAUUGUAAACCCCUUUCGGGAGGGAAGAUGGAGUGGGUAACCACUUGGACGGUACCUCCAGAAGCAGCCACGGCUAACUUCGUGCCAGCAGCCGCGGUAAUACGAAGGUGGCAAGCGUUGUUCGGAUUCACUGGGCGUACAGGGAGCGUAGGCGGUUGGGUAAGCCCUCCGUGAAAUCUCCGGGCCUAACCCGGAAAGUGCAGAGGGGACUGCUCAGCUAGAGGAUGGGAGAGGAGCGCGGAAUUCCCGGUGUAGCGGUGAAAUGCGUAGAGAUCGGGAGGAAGGCCGGUGGCGAAGGCGGCUAACUGGUCCGGUACUGACGCUGAGGCUCGAAAGCGUGGGGAGCAAACAGGAUUAGAUACCCGUGUAGUCCCUGAGCGGGCUGGCAAGGCGCAU
rnacentral:rRNA from 1 species